GAUGAACGCUGGCGGCGUGCCUAAUACAUGCAAGUCGAGCGAACAGACGAGGAGCUUGCUCCUUUGACGUUAGCGGCGGACGGGUGAGUAACACGUAGGUAACCUACCUAUAAGACUGGGAUAACUUCGGGAAACCGGAGCUAAUACCGGAUAAUAUUUCGAACCGCAUGGUUCGAUAGUGAAAGAUGGCUUUGCUAUCACUUAUAGAUGGACCUGCGCCGUAUUAGCUAGUUGGUAAGGUAACGGCUUACCAAGGCAACGAUACGUAGCCGACCUGAGAGGGUGAUCGGCCGCACUGGAACUGAGACACGGUCCAGACUCCUACGGGAGGCAGCAGUAGGGAAUCUUCCGCAAUGGGCGAAAGCCUGACGGAGCAACGCCGCGUGAGUGAUGAAGGUCUUCGGAUCGUAAAACUCUGUUAUUAGGGAAGAACAAACGUGUAAGUAACUGUGCACGUCUUGACGGUGCCUAAUCAGAAAGCCACGGCUAACUACGUG
rnacentral:rRNA from 1 species